rnacentral:lncRNA from 1 species
UUUUUUUUAUAAAAAAAAAAAAUUGAGUGAUUUGAACCACCCAAUUAGCGUAGUUGGCUUAAAAUUUGAUGAUUAAUAUACGAAAUUUUAAAUUCAAAGUCUAGUUACUUUACAGUUCUGCAUGAGUUUAUUUCUAAAAAAGAUACGAAUGAAUCUAAAUAUAAGCAAAGCGGAUAACUUGCUAACUUUUUUUUCAAAAAGAAUUAAUUAAUUAUUAAAUUAUUGAU